rnacentral:rRNA from 1 species
AAACUUGAGAGUUUGAUCAUGGCUCAGAACGUACGCUGGCGGCACGCCUAACACAUGCAAGUCGAACGAAGUAGCAAUACUUAGUGGCAGACGGGUGAGUAACAUGUAGGUAUCUGCCCUUUGGCCUGGAAUAACACGAGGAAACUUGUGCUAAUACCGGAUAAGUCUUUACGGAGAAAGCUUUAUGCACCAUUGGAUGAGCCUGCACUUGAUUAGUUUGUUGGUGGGGUAAUGGCCUACCAAGACUGUGAUCAAUAGCUGAUUUGAGAGGAUGAUCAGCCACAUUGGGACUGAGACACGGCCCAAACUCCUACGGGAGGCAGCAGUGGGGAAUCUUGCACAAUGGAGGAAACUCUGAUGCAGCGAUGCCGCGUGAGUGAAGAAGGCCCUUGGGUUGUAAAGCUCUUUCGUCGGGGAAGAAAAUGACUGUACCCGAAUAAGAAGGUCCGGCUAACUUCGUGCCAGCAGCCGCGGUAAUACGAAGGGACCUAGCGUAGUUCGGAAUUACUGGGCUUAAAGAGUUCGUAGGUGGUUGAAAAAGUUGGUGGUGAAAUCCCAGAGCUUAACUCUGGAACUGCCAUCAAAACUUUUCAGCUAGAGUAUGAUAGAGGAAAGCAGAAUUUCUAGUGUAGAGGUGAAAUUCGUAGAUAUUAGAAAGAAUACCAAUUGCGAAGGCAGCUUUCUGGAUCAUUACUGACACUGAGGAACGAAAGCAUGGGUAGCGAAGAGGAUUAGAUACCCUCGUAGUCCAUGCCGUAAACGAUGUGUGUUAGACGUUGGAAAUUUAUUUUCAGUGUCGCAGCGAAAGCGAUAAACACACCGCCUGGGGAGUACGACCGCAAGGUUAAAACUCAAAUGAAUUGACGGGGACCCGCACAAGUAGUGGAGCAUGUGGUUUAAUUCGAAGAUACGCGCAGAACCUUACCAACACUUGACAUGUUCGUCGCGACUCUAAGAGAUUAGAGUUUUCGGUUCGGCCGGACGAAACACAGGUGCUGCAUGGCUGUCGUCAGCUCGUGUCGUGAGAUGUUGGGUUAAGUCCCGCAACGAGCGCAACCCUCACUUUUAGUUGCCAUCAUUAAGUUGGGCACUCUGAAAGAACUGCCAGUGAUAAGCUGGAGGAAGGUGGGGAUGACGUCAAGUCCUCAUGGCCCUUACGUGUUGGGCUACACACGUGCUACAAUGGUAUCUACAACAGGAAGCAAGACUGCGAGGUCAAGCAAAUCCUUAAAAGAUACCUCAGUUCGGAUUGCACUCUGCAACUCGAGUGCAUGAAGCUGGAAUUACUAGUAAUCGUGGAUCAGCGUGCCACGGUGAAUGCGUUCCCGGGUCUUGUACACACCGCCCGUCACACCAUGGGAGUUGGUUCUACCUUAAGGCAAGGUUUAAUACCCUUGACCACGGUAUAGUCAGCGACUGGGGUGAAGUCGUAACAAGGUAGCCGUAGGGGAACCUGCGGCUGGAUUACCUCCUUU